GAUGAACGCUGGCGGCGUGCCUAAUACAUGCAAGUCGAGCGAACGGACGAGAAGCUUGCUUCUCUGAUGUUAGCGGCGGACGGGUGAGUAACACGUGGAUAACCUACCUAUAAGACUGGGAUAACUUCGGGAAACCGGAGCUAAUACCGGAUAAUAUUUUGAACCGCAUGGUUCAAAAGUGAAAGACGGUCUUGCUGUCACUUAUAGAUGGAUCCGCGCUGCAUUAGCUAGUUGGUAAGGUAACGGCUUACCAAGGCAACGAUGCAUAGCCGACCUGAGGGGGUGAUCGGCCACACUGGAACUGAGACACGGUCCAGACUCCUACGGGAGGCAGCAGUAGGGAAUCUUCCGCAAUGGGCGAAAGCCUGACGGAGCAACGCCGCGUGAGUGAUGAAGGUCUUCGGAUCGUAAACCUCUGUUAUUAGGGAAGAACAUAUGUGUAAGUAACUGUGCACAUCUUGACGGUACCUAAUCAGAAAGCCACGGCUAACUACGUG
rnacentral:rRNA from 1 species